rnacentral:lncRNA from 1 species
GAAGAAGAAGAAGAAGAAGGUAGAAGAAGAAGAAGAGGAAUAGGAAUAGGGAAGAAGAGUAGGGGUUGUACCACUCGUCCUCGGCCUCGGUUCGAAAGCCUCCCUCUCUUUGCUCACUCAGUCAGUGUGAGGAACGAACGGUACGAGGAGGGAGAGUUUGCCGCGCUAGCUGCCUUCCUUCCUCCUCGUCAGUUCCUCGCGAACCGCGAGCCGUGUAGUACUUUUCAAUUCGUUUUGUCAUCAAAAAAAGAUUUUACAAAAAAAGAAAACAGAAGAAGACAACGUAUUAACAUUUGUUUUUAUCAAUUAACGUAUAUUAACGAUGUUGGUUGUAUCAAAAUUUGCAAUCGAACGUUGUCCUCGAAAUUAUCGACGACUAUGCGAAUACGUUACGAUCGUUACGUGCGAGGACGACGUUCAAUGAGAGAAAGAAGGAUAAAAAAAGAAAGUUAAAGAGAAAAAGAAAAAGAAAAAAAAAAUAGAAAAGAAGAAAAUAUAUCUCGAUACAAUUUCGUAGGCGAAAAUAAAAAUAUGUACGUUCGACUAGUGACCUCGUCGUGUGCGUUUUAAAGAUUUGUGUUAAAACGAAGAAUUCGAUCCGAAGAGUUAGAAAAGAAUAGAAAAAGAAAACAAAAAAAAAAAAACAAAAAAAAUAGGAGAAAAAAGAUGGGAAAGUUAAAAACGAGAAGAAGAGGACAAGGAGAGAGGAGAGGGUGAUUUUCUUAAGAGAAAAGUUCCUGUGAUAGAUAUCGAAAAGUUUCGAACGAGACCAAGAAAAGGAGGUGGCGUAAAGUUAUUUUGCUUAAAAAAACCUGAAAAUUUCUGGAAGGAGUAAAUUUUUGAAGUUACCCUUAAAGAUUGCAACAGGGUGGCCUCAGGUUUUCUUUCUAAAAAUGGAGAAAGGUUAUGGAACAAAAUGUGCAUAAUAUCUCGAUUCGAACAUAAAUGGAGGUAGGCCACUUUCAAAAUAGGCGAUUCAUAUA